CCGAGUGAGGGCUCCGGCCCGACCUCCAACCCUUUUGUUGACCAACACCUGUUGCCUCGGGGGUGGUCCGGACCCGGCUUCCACGCCGGGUCGCAGGGCGUCCCCGGAGGACCAUUUCAACUCUGUAUCUUUACGUCGGAGUCUUGAUUAAAUCAAUCA
rnacentral:misc_RNA from 1 species